GUGACCUCAAAUCAGGUAGGACUACCCGCUGAACUUAAGCAUAUCAAUAAGCGGAGGAAAAGAAACUAACAAGGAUUCCCCUAGUAACUGCGAGUGAAGCGGGAAAAGCUCAAAUUUAAAAUCUGGCGGCCUUUUUGCUGUCCGAGUUGUAAUCUAGAGAAGUGUUAUCCGCGCUGGACCGUGUACAAGUCUCCUGGAAUGGAGCAUCAUAGAGGGUGAGAAUCCCGUCUUUGACAUGGACUACCAGGGCUUUGUGAUGCGCUCUCAAAGAGUCGAGUUGUUUGGGAAUGCAGCUCUAAAUUCCAUCUAAAGCUAAAUAUUGGCCAGAGACCGAUAGCGUACAAGUAGAGUGAUCGAAAGAUGAAAAGCA
rnacentral:rRNA from 1 species